GAGACUCUGUGCGCGUGCAUAUCAAUAAGCGGAGGAAAAGAAACUAACAAGGAUUCCCUUAGUAACGGCGAGUGAAGCGGGAAGAGCUCAAAUUUGAAAUCUUCAAGGUUCUACCUUGACGAAUUGUAGUUUAUAGAAGUGUUUUCUGUUAGUAGAGUGGCAAAAGUUCUUUGGAAUAGGACAUCAUAGAGGGUGAGAAUCCCGUAUUUGGUCAUUCUUUCUAGCUUUGUGAUACACUUUCAACGAGUCGGAUUGUUUGGGAAUGCAGUCCAAAAUGGGUGGUAAAUUUCAUCUAAAGCUAAAUAUUGGCGAGAGACCGAUAGCGAACAAGUACCGUGAGGGAAAGAUGAAAAGAACUUUGAAAAGAGAGUUAAACAGUACGUGAAAUUGUCAAAAGGGAAGCGUUUGACACCAGUGUUGUUUUUCCGAAAAUCAAUUACGAAUGUUUUAUUUUUGAGGAGUUAUGACUUCAUCGGCUUGCUCCUUUCUUUACGAAACUUUCUUAAUGCACUUUUCGGUUAACAAGUCAACAUCAAUUUCUUUUGUUGUAAAAGGGUAUGAGGAAGGUGGCUUUCUUUUCGGAGAAAGUGUUUAUAGCCUUGUGCCUCUGCAAUCGGAGAGAUUGAGGUCUGCAGCGUAGAUCCUUCGGGGUUAGAUACGUUUGUGCUAAGUUAUAGCUUUUCAUAGACAACUUGUUGACUAUGUUUAGUCUUGUAGCUUACUCGCUUAUGCUAUUUUACCUACGCUUAGGAUGUUGA
rnacentral:rRNA from 1 species